rnacentral:rRNA from 1 species
UACAGAGGGGGCAAGCGUUGUUCGGAAUUACUGGGCGUAAAGCGCGCGUAGGCGGAUAUUUAAGUCGGAUGUGAAAUCCCCGGGCUUAACCUGGGAAUUGCCUCCGAGACUGGAUAUCUAGAGUAUGGUAGAGGAUAGUGGAAUUUCCGGUGUAGCGGUGAAAUGCGUAGAUAUCGGAAGGAACACCAGUGGCGAAAGCGGCUAUCUGGACCAAUACUGACACUUAGGUGCGAAAGCGUGGGGAGCAAACAGG